UGGGGAAUCUUGCGCAAUGGGGGCAACCCUGACGCAGCCAUGCCGCGUGAAUGAUGAAGGCCUUAGGGUUGUAAAGUUCUUUUGCCCGUGACGAUGAUGACGGUAACGGGAGAAUAAGCUCCGGCUAACUUCGUGCCAGCAGCCGCGGUAAUACGAAGGGGGCUAGCGUUGUUCGGAAUUACUGGGCGUAAAGCGCGCGCAGGCGGUUCGAUAAGUUGGGGGUGAAAUCCCCGGGCUCAACCCGGGAAUGGCCUUCAAGACUGUCGAGCUAGAGGACGAGAGAGGUGAGUGGAAUUCCCAGUGUAGAGGUGAAAUUCGUAGAUAUUGGGAAGAACACCGGUGGCGAAGGCGGCUCACUGGCUCGUUUCUGACGCUGAGGCGCGAAAGCGUGGGGAGCAAA
rnacentral:rRNA from 1 species